rnacentral:rRNA from 1 species
GUAAAUAAAUAAGGGCGUAUGGUGGAUGCCUGGGCUCUCAGAGGCGAUGAAGGACGUGAUAAGCUGCGAAAAGCUGCGGGUAGGUGCAAAUAACCUUAAAUCCGCAGAUGUCCGAAUGGGGCAACCCGGUACAUUGAAGAUGUACCAUACCGUCAGGUAAGCAAACGCAGGGAACUGAAACAUCUAAGUACCUGCAGGAAGAGAAAACAAAAGUGAUUCCCUUAGUAGCGGCGAGCGAACGGGGAACAGCCUAAACCGCAACUGUUUCGGCAUUUGCGGGGUUGUAGGGCCACGAUAUUCAUGAAAGAUGGGAAGCGGAAUGCUUUGGAAAGAGCAAUCACAGAGGGUGAUAAUCCCGUACGUGUAACCUGCUUUUAUGAUAGUGUAACCCUGAGUAGGGCGGGACACGAGGAAUCCUGUCUGAAUCUGCCGGGACCAUCCGGUAAGGCUAAAUACUCCUGAGAGACCGAUAGUGAACCAGUACUGUGAAGGAAAGGUGAAAAGCACUUCGAACAGAAGAGUGAAAUAGUCCCUGAACCCAUACGCCUACAAGCGGUCGGAGCAGCUUCGUGCUGUGACGGCGUGCCUUUUGCAUAAUGAGCCUACGAGUUAGUCAUCACCAGCGAGGUUAAGUACUUCAGGUACGUAAGCCGAAGCGAAAGCGAGUCUUAAUAGGGCGCUGAGUUGGUGGUGCUAGACGCGAAACCUUAGUGAUCUACCCAUGAGCAGGCUGAAGGUUUGGUAACACAAACUGGAGGGCCGAACCGAUAUACGUUGAAAAGUGUCCGGAUGACUUGUGGGUAGGGGUGAAAGGCCAAUCAAACUGGGAAAUAGCUCGUACUCUCCGAAAUGCAUUUAGGUGCAGCCUCAUAUGUUUUGUUCCAGAGGUAGAGCUACUGAUUGGAUGCGAGGGCUUCACCGCCUAUCAAAUCCGGAUAAACUCCGAAUGCUGGAACAUGAAAUAUGGGAGUGAGCCUGCGGGUGCUAAGGUCCGUAGACGAAAGGGAAAGAACCCGGACCAUCAGCUAAGGUCCCCAAUUAUAUGCUAAGUUGAUCAAACGCGGUGGAACUGCUUGGACAGCUAGGAUGUUGGCUUGGAAGCAGCCAUUCAUUUAAAGAGUGCGUAACAGCUCACUAGUCGAGCGGUUCUGCAUGGAUAAUACACGGGCAUAAGCAUAUAACCGAAGCUAUGGGAUUGUUGAACAAACAAUCGGUAGGAGAGCAUUCCAUUCCGUGUAGAAGGUGUGUUGUAAAGCAUGCUGGAACGAAUGGAAAAGCAAAUGUAGGCAUAAGUAACGAUAAUGCGGGUGAGAACCCCGCACGCCGUAAGGUCAAGGAUUCCCCGGCAAUGUCAAUCAUCCGGGGGUUAGUCGGACCCUAAGGGCCAGCCGAAGGGCGACCCCGAUGGCAAACAGGUUAAUAUUCCUGUACUGAUCUGUACUGCGAUGCAGGGACGGAGAGGUGAAACUGCUGCGAACUGACGGAAUAGUUCGUUGAAGCCAGUACCCUGAGACCGGGAUAGUCAAGUACGUUCCGGGAGGCGAAUGGCGAUAGUACCGCAACACUUCGGUAGCGCGGAUAACGCAGGUAAACUUACUUCCAAGAAAAGCUGCUAAGCUUCAGGUGCAGAUCAUCCGUACUGUAAACGGACACACGUGACCGAGUAGAGAAUACUAAGGCGCUCGAGAGAUUCAUGGCUAAGGAACUAGGCAAAAUAGUCCUGUAACUUCGGGAUAAAGGACGCUCACGUGAGUGAGCCGCAGAGAAUUGGUCCAGGCGACUGUUUACCAAAAACACAUGGCUAUGCUAAUUCGCAAGAAGAUGUAUAUGGCCUGACACCUGCCCGGUGCUGGAAGGUUAAGAGGAGAGUUCAGAAGUAAUUCGAAGAUUUGAAUUGAAGCCCCAGUAAACGGCGGCCGUAACUAUAACGGUCCUAAGGUAGCGAAAUUCCUUGUCGGGUAAGUU